rnacentral:rRNA from 1 species
AACGUAGGAGGCGAGCGUUAUCCGGAUUUACUGGGCGUAAAGCGCGUGUAGGCGGUUUCAUAAGUCGUGCGUGAAAGCUCCCUGGCUCAACCGGGGGAGGUCGUGCGAUACUGCGAAACUUGAGUCAGACAGAGGCAAGUAGAAUUCCGGGUGUAGUGGUGAAAUGCGUAGAUAUCCGGAGGAAUACCAGUGGCGAAGGCGACUUGCUGGGUCUGUACUGACGCUCAGACGCGAAAGCAUGGGGAGCGAACGGG